CUCUUUUCAUGACAACCACUGUGUAACAAGCAGCUCCCUUCAUCCUCUUUGUGACCUGUGGCUGUGCUUCCUCUACCACAAUGGACUGUAAUGUCCUAAAUCAUGAGCCAGACCGGCCCCUUCCUCUUUGAUGUUGCUUCAGCUAGACAUUUUGUCAUGAUGAGAGAAAGAGAAAAAUAAGCAACACAGUUGCUUUGUCUCAUCGCCCCUGUGCCUGUGCCAGUGCAUCGGUCACAUUGGUGGCAGGUGAGACAGAAGCCUUGGAGCAGGGUGGAAUAGGAGGAAUUUCCUUUUUCCAACUCGAACGAACUGGAUGUCAUCUUUUCCCUCGAGGCUGCAGAACUGGCCUAAUGAUGACACCGCUGUGGCCACUGGCACUGCCAGCUGGAUGCCACAAUUCGUGUCACCACCAGGAACCUGAUCAUCUCCACCACUGCUGCCUUCAGGACCAAUACCACAUCUGGCUGGCAACACCACCCUGUCAUCUGCAGCCCCUCUGCCACCUACUUUCAUUGUAGCUACAAAGGAGGAACAGUUGAUGCCCUGGCCCCUUCAUGCCUGGAUUCUGAGGCUCAACUAACAAGGUACCCAGAGUAUGUCUUCUCUAAUGUCUGAAGAAAAAUGCUGAUCAUAUACCACUCUCCUAGAAGGAGUAUGAGGAGGAAGGCAGCUGAAAUUGUCUGAAUGUAGGUCUUAAUUCGUUAAUGUCAUCUCUUUUAAAACCACUUUCUGCCCGGUGUUCCAAGUAAGAUGUGGCUCAUUCAUAUAGAUUCUCACUUGGAGUCUGGCCUGCUGGAUACCUAAUACAGGUUUCCAAAAAUAAAGCUGACAUUUAUUGAAUA